UACGUAGGGUGCAGGCGUUAAUCGGAAUUACUGGGCGUAAAGCGUGCGCAGGCGGUUUCUUAAGUCAGAUGUGAAAGCCCCGGGCUUAACCUGGGAACUGCGUUUGAAACUGGGAGACUUGAGUGUGGCAGAGGGGGGUGGAAUUCCACGUGUAGCAGUGAAAUGCGUAGAGAUGUGGAGGAACACCGAUGGCGAAGGCAGCCCCCUGGGUCAAGAUUGACGCUCAUGCACGAAAGCGUGGGGAGCAAACGGG
rnacentral:rRNA from 1 species